AUCUUCACUGGCUGGAAACUGCUUUCUCUUAGGACUGGUGCAGAUAAAGAGAUUCUGGGCAUUGUGACAGCCAGCCACAGAAGAUAAGAAUUCUUACCACAUCAGCCUCCUGAACCUCUGUUUGCAAGGUCCAGUGGGAGCAAAAAAUGGGAAUAAGCUUCAGCCUCCAUGACCUUCCCUGAGUUCCAAAGCGCAGAUUCUAACAGUUGCUACUCAGGGAAAGAAAGGGAUGCAGAGACCAAGGAGGAGCCCUCAAGAGACAAGACUGGAGACUUGGGGCAGGGUCCCGGUUCCUCUUCAAGGAAUAUACAUAAUAUCUUUCAGCCUUUCUGCAGAACUAAAACCCCCAACACAGGGAAGAACUACUUGAUGCCGCAUUCUUCCUUCUGGGAAGAAGGAGGACCACCAGAACCAGUCCUGGGGCCACUAAACACCAGCUUUGAAAGAAAAUGCGACCUUGCCUCCUCACUGAUCUUUAUCUGUGGCCCUUUUCUUCCACACCCCAAACUGUAAAACCACCUCCUAACCCCUUCAGGGGGUGGAGGGAAACAGUCUUUAAGGCAUUAGUCUGCUUUGGCUCCCUUUGCCUAGCAAAGCAAUAAACCUAUAUUUUUCUCCUUCACCCAAAACUCUGUCUCCAAGGUUUGCCUUUUUAGGGCCACAGCCACGGCUGUCUCCGGAUUUCUGUUCUGCAAUGGCAUACAGAGGCCAAGUUUCGGCAACAGAAUUAAAAUGGAGUUUUUCUUCUGGCACUAUUUCCCCUCUAAGCCAGGGAGGGCCCUAUCCCUACGCCUUCCCUCUCACCUCACCCAGCCUGGAGCAUCGCAUCAUCCUGGGGACAGGAACCAUUUGGAAAACUUCCACAGAGCACCCAAGGGCAGCUGCUGUUGCCAACCCCAGACCUGCAGAGCCUGGCAGUCACCCACGUGGUCAACCAGCAAGUGAAAGCAGCUGCAGAGGAACUAGGGCAAGACCAUCACAGACCCCUUGGUACCCUGAAGAGUAAGAAACGUCACCACCUUCCAGCCGCAUGUCAGAACCAAAGCUUUAUUUGAAUAUGCUUAUUAUUUUCAGAACAUUGAUGACGACUAGAAACUUGUGUGCAAGAGGGAUUGUUCUAACUGUCAAUAAACUAGGUCAUGGAAUUGUAACAGUAAAUACACCUUAAAGGUAAACAGACACAUGGCCAUCCCACACACAGAAAAGUCAUGCUCUGUAAGUGCUCUGUCCACACACCGCCUUUGUGCGGCGCUAAAUUCCAGGAAGGAUCUUCGAGGGUUUACAUGUGUCCCAUAAGUUAUGAAUAUUUCCAGAGAGCUUAGGGAGGAGCAACAUUUUACAAAUUUUGAAAAAGAAAUUAAAUAUCACAGAGUGUUUUUUGAUAUUUAAUACUUUUGUUCUAUAAAGAACAAGCAUCUCUUAAAUAUUACAAACAGUGAAACAAAGAUACUAGCUUACAGAUAUGUACAAUGUACUCCUUUACACUUCAAAAAUGCAGAAAGAAUUAUAUAUAUAUUAUAUAUAUAAUUUUAGAUCUAACGAACAAUUGAAUAUUGCUCUUGUGUUGGUCUUGCUGUAUUGCAUGCAUGCCCAGGGCACGCCCAUGGCUUGUCACUGGAUGGAAGAGGGUUUGGCAGGGACAGAAGGGGACUCAUGGAGCCCCAUGCUUAUUCCCAGAGUGCCAUCUUCAAAGCAAUAUUUUGAGUUUUGUAAUGUACUGUAGCUAGGUCAAAAAUCUGCUAUGCCCUUAUGCAGUGUAGGAGGUAUUCCCAAAGACCAGGACUACUUCUUUGGAGAUGGGGCACAUAGAUGCUAAAAACAUCUGACUCACUGGAAUUAACUCCUUGAGCCCUGAGUCAAUUGGGGAGCUCUGAAAAAAAAAAUAUUUUUAGAUAAUCAACUCUACCCUCAGGGCACUUCAUAAAGAAUUAUCUCAGAACAAAGACCCAUGAUUGAGACAUCAAUAGCCUCACCAUAAACUCCACAGGCAAAGUGCAAAGGAGCACUUGAAUGAGAUCAGAAUUUCAAGAAUUACAAGUUUCUCAGACUGAUGAAGCUGUAAAUGUUUUUAAAAUGUAGCUCUCGCCUUGAGAGGGCUCAAUGAAUUUCUCACUUGGGCCAGGAGGAACGAGACAGUGGGAGGGAGCCCACACCCUGAGAGCCUUGUGGACACAGCUGCCCGUGGCAGACAUCACAUUUUCCGGUUAGCAAAGGGCCCACCCCCAAAUCUUUAAAAUCCAUUUGGGCCAUGAAGUCCUGCUUCUUCUUCCACUUAACCCAUCUCCAAAUUACAAACUGAUGAUAUCUCUCUGAGAAGAGAAAUAGGAAAAAAGGAGGGAUGAGUUGAAAAACAAGUAUUCUCAAAAAACUACCAAUGAGAUCUUACUGGGAAGGCUGUGGAACAGCCACUUGGAACAGAAGGAGCCUGUCAGAGGGUGCGGCCAUUAGAAUUUGACCACUUGGUUCUAGAUGAGCGUUGGGCCCCCUCAAUCUCUGCUGGUGCCCAGGCCGCUUCUGUACCCUCCCUGCCCAGGUCCUGUUGUAUGUAGGAGGCCAGGGUGGUGGGCAGACCACGGAGCCAACGGUUCUUAAAGCACCCCCACACACACACACUACAUAAUCACGAGGAUGAGUUACUAGUAGAGCAAAGGGGAGGAAAUGAAGGCAAGAAAAUUUAAACAGAAAGGAUUAAUUAAGCAUCUGUUGGGAGCAGAGCUGCUCAGGAGUUGCUGCAGCAGGAGGCGCAGGAAAGACAGAGCGAGGGCUGGGGUACGUGCAAAGGUCCCAACCUUGCCAACUCUGUCCCAGCUGGUGCCCCCAGGAAGCGCCCCUAUGGAAGCCAAAGGGCAGCGCUCUCUCUGCCUGCCAGGUGGGCAAAAGGAAAGUGUGCUGAGAGGAAAAUUCCACAAGAGCCCAGCAUGGGAUGCAGACUAGAAUAAACCGGAGACUUUAAGGGCUCUGUCAGUGGGAAUGUGGGGGAAGCAGAGUCAAAGCAGACUUGAUGGCAGAGUGAGCGGGCUAUGCCCUGCCCAGCACAGAGCCUGCCCAUCCCAUCUCCACUCAGUAUGCAGAACCAGCAGUGGCUGUAAUUUGGUUUGAAGGGAUGAGGAAGCACAUGAGACCACCAGGAGGAAAUGACCCCAAGUAAACACUGCAUCAAACAGCUCUUAGACAUUUCUAAUGGAACAUGCACAACAAUCUAUCACUUGAACACAUCUUCCAGGAAUAUAUUUGUUAGAGAUAGAUCAUCAAAAACACAGUGAACAACUUCUAUUUCAAAGUAUUUCAUUAAGGUGCAAAGUAUGGCAUAUAUACGUCCAUGUCUGUUACAAAAUGGAUGUGCUUCUGAUCUCCGGAUGGCCUUGGUUGGCUUGUUACCCAGUUGGAUACAGAUCGAGUUAUUGAAAAGAAGGAAAAUCAUGUCAGAGGGGAAAAAAUAUCUAAAAAUAGCUACUUUAAUUACUUUUAUUUAAAAUCUGAGGGCUGGAAGAGUCAGACCCCUCAUGGAUCAAAGGAAGGAAACUUCACAUUUCUGAAACGCUCAGAGUAUAACCCACAGGCGCGUUAUUGCGAUGUUUUAGUGUUGUCACAAUAUCCUCUCUCAAACAUUUCAAAGAGAACUCGAAGAAUGUCUGACAGAGCAGCACACACUCUUAAGGGAGUCGUCAUUGUGUGCGAAAAGAAAGACUUUGAAAGGUUAAAACGCUACCUGCUAACUAGGCUUAGUGAGGUGAGACCAUCCCCGCAGAGUGGCAAGGCUCACAGGUCAGCUGGGAUUUGACAGUGAACAAACAUCCUCUGGGGGAAGAGAGGCUGAGUUAUUUAUUUUUAAUCCGGGGGG